rnacentral:rRNA from 1 species
UGGGGAAUAUUGCACAAUGGGCGCAAGCCUGAUGCAGCCAUGCCGCGUGUAUGAAGAAGGCCUUCGGGUUGUAAAGUACUUUCAGCGGGGAGGAAGGCGAUGUGGUUAAUAACCGCGUCGAUUGACGUUACCCGCAGAAGAAGCACCGGCUAACUCCGUGCCAGCAGCCGCGGUAAUACGGAGGGUGCAAGCGUUAAUCGGAAUUACUGGGCGUAAAGCGCACGCAGGCGGUCUGUCAAGUCGGAUGUGAAAUCCCCGGGCUCAACCUGGGAACUGCAUCCGAAACUGGCAGGCUUGAGUCUCGUAGAGGGGGGUAGAAUUCCAGGUGUAGCGGUGAAAUGCGUAGAGAUCUGGAGGAAUACCGGUGGCGAAGGCGGCCCCCUGGACGAAGACUGACGCUCAGGUGCGAAAGCGUGGGGAGCAAACAGG